rnacentral:rRNA from 1 species
GUACACUCCUACGGGAGGCAGCAGUGGGGAAUAUUGGACAAUGGGCGCAAGCCUGAUCCAGUCAUGCCGCGUGAGUGAUGAAGGCCCUAGGGUUGUAAAGCUCUUUCACCGGUGAAGAUAAUGACGGUAACCGGAGAAGAAGCCCCGGCUAACUUCGUGCCAGCAGCCGCGGUAAUAAGAAGGGGGCUAGCGUUGUUCGGAUUUACUGGGCGUAAAGCGCACGUAGGCGGACUAUUAAGUCAGGGGUGAAAUCCCGGGGCUCAACCCCGGAACUGCCUUUGAUACUGGUAGUCUUGAGUUCGAGAGAGGUGAGUGGAAUUCCGAGUGUAGAGGUGAAAUUCGUAGAUAUUCGGAGGAACACCAGUGGCGAAGGCGGCUCACUGGCUCGAUACUGACGCUGAGGUGCGAAAGCGUGGGGAGCAAACAGGAUUAGAAACCCCAGUAGUCCCAUG